AUACGUAGGUGACAAGCGUUAUCCGGAUUUACUGGGCGUAAAGGGCGUGUAGGCGGUCUUGCAAGUCAGAAGUGAAAUUCCUGAGCUCAACUCGGGCGCUGCUUCUGAAACUGCAGGACUUGAGUGCUGGAGGGGAUAGCGGAAUUCCUAGUGGAGCGGUAAAAUGCGCAGAUAUUAGGAAGAACACCGGUGGCGAAGGCGGCUUGCUGGACAGAAGCUGACACUGAGGCGCGAACGCGUGGGGAGCAAACAGGAUUAGAUACCCUGGUAGCCCACGCCGUAAACGAUGAAUACUAGGUGGAGGGGGGAUCGACUCCAUGUGUGCCGCAGUUAACACAAUAAGUGUUCCGCCUGGGGAGUACGGCCGCACGGUUGAAACUCAAAUGAAUUGCCGGGG
rnacentral:rRNA from 1 species